rnacentral:misc_RNA from 1 species
CAACCCUCGGGCCCGUCCCGGUGUUGGGGCUCUGUAGCAUACGACAGACCCCGAAAGACAGUGGCGGAGCCGCCUAGCUCUCAGCGUAGUAAUUCUUCUCGUUGUGGGGCGACGGCGGUUGCUUGCCGUUAAACAACCACUAUUUUAAUU